rnacentral:rRNA from 1 species
AUUGAACGCUGGCGGCGUGCCUAACACAUGCAAGUCGAACGGACGGAGGGAGCUUGCUCCCGAAGUUAGUGGCGCACGGGUGAGUAACGCGUGGAUGAUCUACCCAUGAGUUUGGGACAACAGUUGGAAACGACUGCUAAUACCGGAUACGGCACCAUUUCAUUUUUGGUGUUAAAGGGGGCCUCUGUAUAUGCUCUCGCUUGUGGAUGAGUCCGCGUUUCAUUAGGUAGUUGGUGGGGUAACGGCUCACCAAGCCGACGAUGAAUAGCUGGUUUGAGAGGAUGACCAGCCACACUGGGACUGGAACACGGCCCAGACUCCUACGGGAGGCAGCAGUGGGGAAUAUUGCGCAAUGGGCGAAAGCCUGACGCAGCGACGCCGCGUGAGGGAUGAAGGGCUUCGGUUCGUAAACCUCUGUCAGGAGGGAAGAAGUGUACGGGUGCUAAUCAGCCUGUAUUUGACGGUACCUCCAAAGGAAGCACCGGCUAACUCCGUGCCAGCCGCCGCCGUAACAC